UCAGAUAUCUGAGUGCGAUCAGAUUGUAUUUUGAAUACGAGAUCGAUCUAUGAUGAACGAUUUAGCGGACAAAUUUGAAGGAGUAAGGAUUGAGAGUCAAAUAGAAUCGGUUGAAGAUGUCCGCCAAGGUCAAUCAAGUCAUAAGAAUUCAAAAAGUAGGCGAAGCAAUCAUAGUAGAAUUCAAGGAACUGGUUGGGCUAGCAAUCACAUCAAACGAACUGCUCCCAGAAAUAUGGAAGGCUUUCAAUCCAAUUUUUCUCCAAAAUUUCAACAGCAAUCGAUUUCAAGUUCAGACUCAACCAAGAAACCCGUGGACAUAAUUGACCCUUUCUAUCCAAUCAAGUCUUUCCAUGAAGAGGAGUUGGCUCCUGUUAGAGGGAAAAAUACGGAAUCAUUCACACCUUCUCAUGAACCGGCACAAAUCAGAAUAGUUUGCGCACCAUUUGGUUUAGAUACAUACAAUAGGCUUCAUACACCUCGAGAUGUAGUAGUUGUGCAGAGUUUGUUCGAUUGUAACAGCUAUGAAAUUUAUGAGAACUUAAAAAAUGAAAUUGCAUCAAGCGUCCCCGAAGACGUUUGGGUUCCAUGGCACGGAGAUAGUCAUUUGAUAGCCAACGAUAAGUUAAGCUGGAAGAAAUAUUGUCCUACGUUCAAUAGAGUGUUAGAUGAACUUUGUACUUACUUUAAAAUGGAGGCAAAGGCUACACGAUUGAAUUGGUAUAGGGAUAAUUCAGCAUGGAAGCCAUAUCACCACGACGCAUCGGCUGUGAAAGUGGAUAAAGCAAAUAGCCAGAAUAUUACUGUCGCUGCAUCUUUCGGCGCUGAACGAGAAGUUGCAUUUGAACACGCUAAAACGAAAACUACUUUGUCAUUACCUCUCAUUAAUGGCUCGGUUUACAGCUUUGGGAAAGAAGUGAACAUUUUAUGGAGACAUGGCAUACCCCAGAUGUCAACAAAAAUAAAUACAACUGAUAGAGCAGAGAAAGGGCGCUUUUCAGUGAUUGUGUGGGGUUGGACUCAUCUCGGCCAAACCGACUAAAACUCCAGAACUCAUGUUUUGCUAGCAAUCUUAUCGAUUUCAAAGGUUGCAAAACCUGAAGCUUAUAAACUAGUCUUUAGAUAAAAAUCAAUUUGAACUUUUGCCUUGUUUAUUGACUGUUUUAUUUUUAGUUGAAUUGUACUGUUUCUUUGUUUCAAAACAACCAAUUUCGUGAGACCACUAAAAUAAAUUUAUUUGGAAAGAUUGAAUUAAUCUAAAACAAAGUAAUGACUAAUAA